rnacentral:sRNA from 1 species
UGCAGAGGCUUGCGCUCAGGCUUUCGAUACGAGAGAAGAUAUCCUCUCGUCCGACAUGUUCAGAAGAACAUGAAAUCGUUACGGAUUUAGCGCACUGAGCGAUCCACACGGCGCAAGCU